rnacentral:rRNA from 1 species
CCUACGGGAGGCUGCAGUGGGGAAUAUUGGACAAUGGGGGGAACCCUGAUCCAGCGACGCCGCGUGAGUGAAGAAGUAUUUCGGUAUGUACAGCUCUAUCAGCAGGGAAGAAAGAAAUGACGGUACCUGACUAAGAAGCCCCGGCUAACUACGUGCCAGCAGCCGCGGUAAGACGUAGGGGGCACGCGUUAUCCGGAUUUACUGGGUGUAAAGGGAGCGUAGACGGCGAUGCAAGUCUGAAGUGAAAGGCGGGGGCCCAACCCCCGGACUGCUUUGGAAACUGUAUGGCUGGAGUGCAGGAGCGGUAAGUGGAAUUCCUAGUGUAGCGGUGAAAUGCGUAGAUAUUAGGAGGAACACCAGUGGCGAAGGCGGCUUACUGGACUGUAACUGACGUUGAGGCUCGAAAGCGUGGGGAGCAAACAGGAUUAGAUACCCGGGUAGUC